rnacentral:rRNA from 1 species
AGUGAACGCUGGCGGUAGGCCUAACACAUGCAAGUCGAACGGCAGCACAGUAAGAGCUUGCUCUUACGGGUGGCGAGUGGCGGACGGGUGAGGAAUACAUCGGAAUCUACUUUUUCGUGGGUGAUAACGUGGGGACACUUACGCUAAUACCGCAUACGACCUACGGGUGAAAGCAGGGGAUCUUCGGACCUUGCGCGAUUGAAUGAGCCGAUGUCGGAUUAGCUAGUUGGCGGGGUAAAGGCCCACCAAGGCGACGAUCCGUAGCUGGUCUGAGAGGAUGAUCAGCCACACUGGAACUGAGACACGGUCCAGACUCCUACGGGAGGCAGCAGUGGGGAAUAUUGGACAAUGGGCGCAAGCCUGAUCCAGCCAUACCGCGUGGGUGAAGAAGGCCUUCGGGUUGUAAAGCCCUUUUGGUGGGAAAGAAAAGCAGCAGGUUAAUACCCCGCUGUUCUGACGGUACCCAAAGAAUAAGCACCGGCUAACUUCGUG